rnacentral:rRNA from 1 species
GGACGAACGCUGGCGGCGUGCCUAAUACAUGCAAGUCGAACGAGCUCUCCCAAAUUGAUUUUAUGCUUGCAUAAAUGAUUUUUGGAUUCGGAGCGAGUGGCGAACUGGUGAGUAACACGUGGGUAACCUGCCCCGAAGCGGGGGAUAACAUUUGGAAACAAGUGCUAAUACCGCAUAAUUAGUUGGAACCGCAUGGUUCCAACUUGAAAGAUGGCUCUGCUAUCACUUUGGGAUGGACCCGCGCCGUAUUAGUUAGUUGGUGAGAUAAAAGCCCACCAAGACGAUGAUACGUAGCCGACCUGAGAGGGUAAUCGGCCACAUUGGGACUGAGACACGGCCCAGACUCCUACGGGAGGCAGCAGUAGGGAAUCUUCCACAAUGGACGAAAGUCUGAUGGAGCAACGCCGCGUGAGUGAUGAAGGUUUUCGGAUCGUAAAACUCUGUUGUUAAAGAAGAACAAGUGUUAGAGUAACUGUUAACACUUUGACGGUAUUUAACCAGAAAGCCACGGCUAACUACGUGCCAGCAGCCGCGGUAAUACGUAGGUGGCAAGCGUUGUCCGGAUUUAUUGGGCGUAAAGCGAGCGCAGGCGGUUUUGUAAGUCUGCUGUGAAAGCCCUCAGCUCAACUGAGGAAGUGCAGUGGAAACUACAAAACUUGAGUACAGAAGAGGAAAGUGGAACUCCAUGUGUAGCGGUGAAAUGCGUAGAUAUAUGGAAGAACACCAGUGGCGAAGGCGGCUUUCUGGUCUGUUACUGACGCUGAGGCUCGAAAGCAUGGGUAGCGAACAGGAUUAGAUACCCCUGGUAGUCCAUGCCGUAAACGAUGAAUACUAGGUGUUGGAGGGUUUCCGCCCUUCAGUGCCGCAGCUAACGCAUUAAGUAUUCCGCCUGGGGAGUACGACCGCAAGGUUGAAACUCAAAGGAAUUGACGGGGGCCCGCACAAGUGGUGGAGCAUGUGGUUUAAUUCGAUGCUACGCGAAGAACCUUACCAGCUCUUGACAUCUUCUGCCAACCCAAGAGAUUGGGCGUUCCCUUCGGGGACAGAAUGACAGGUGGUGCAUGGUUGUCGUCAGCUCGUGUCGUGAGAUGUUGGGUUAAGUCCCGCAACGAGCGCAACCCUUAUUAUUAGUUGCCAGCAUUUAGUUGGGCACUCUAGUGAGACUGCCGGUGAUAAACCGGAGGAAGGUGGGGACGACGUCAAAUCAUCAUGCCCCUUAUGAGCUGGGCUACACACGUGCUACAAUGGAUGGUACAACGAGUCGCGAAACCGCGAGGUCAAGCUAAUCUCUUAAAGCCAUUCUCAGUUCGGAUUGCAGGCUGCAACUCGCCUGCAUGAAGUUGGAAUCACUAGUAAUCGUGGAUCAGCAUGCCACGGUGAAUACGUUCCCGGGCCUUGUACACACCGC